rnacentral:rRNA from 1 species
UACGUAGGGGGCAAGCGUUGUCCGGAAUCAUUGGGCGUAAAGCGCGUGUAGGCGGCCCGGUAAGUCCGCUGUAAAAGUCGGGGGCUCAACCCUCGAAAGCCGGUGGAUACUGUCGGGCUAGAGUACGGAAGAGGCGAGUGGAAUUCCUGGUGUAGCGGUGAAAUGCGCAGAUAUCGGGAGGAACACCAAUGGCGAAGGCAGCUCGCUGGGACGUUACUGACGCUGAGACGCGAAAGCGUGGGGAGCAAACAGG